CGCAUCUGUGCAUGCAGCAUAUCAAUAAGCGGAGGAAAAGAAACUAACAAGGAUUCCCUUAGUAACGGCGAGUGAAGCGGGAAGAGCUCAAAUUUGAAAUCUUCAAGGUUUUACCUUGACGAAUUGUAGUUUAAAGAAGUGUUUUCUGUUGAAGUUUUGGUAAAAGUUCUUUGGAAUAGGACAUCAUAGAGGGUGAGAAUCCCGUAUUUGACCAUUAUUUUCAGCUGUGUGAUACACUUUCAAAGAGUCGGGUUGUUUGGGAAUGCAGUCCAAGAUGGGUGGUAAAUUUCAUCUAAAGCUAAAUAUUGGCGAGAGACCGAUAGCGAACAAGUACCGUGAGGGAAAGAUGAAAAGAACUUUGAAAAGAGAGUUAAACAGUACGUGAAAUUGUCAAAAGGGAAGCGUUUGACACCAGUGUUGUUUUCUCGAAAAUCAAUUAAAAAGAGUUAGAUUUUGUUGUGUAUUGACCUUAACAGCUUGCAUUUCAAUUUUCUUGCUUCUUUUUAAUGCACUUUUCGUUUAACAAGUCAACAUCAGUUUCUUUUGUUGUAAAAAGGUCAUUGGAAGGUGGCUUUCUUUUCGGAGAAAGUGUUUAUAGCCUUUGACUCCUGCAAUCGGAGAGACUGAGGUCUGCAGCGUAGAUCCUUCGGGGUUAGAUACAUUUGUGCUAAGUUAUAGCUUUUUAUAGACAACUUGUUGACUAUGAUUAGUCUUGUAGCUUACUCGCUUAUGCUAUUUUACCUACGCUUAGGAUGUUGAUGUGAUACUGCGAGCAUCGCAUCUGUGCAUGCAGCAUAUCAAUAAGCGGAGGAAAAGUCAAUACCUACGCUUAGGAUGUUGAUGUGAUACUGCGAGCA
rnacentral:rRNA from 1 species